AGAACGAACGCUGGCGGCAGGCCUAACACAUGCAAGUCGAACUCCCUAGCAAUAGGGAGUGGCAGACGGGUGAGUAACGCGUGGGAACCUUCCCUAUAGUACGGAAUAUACCAGGGAAACUUGGAGCAAUACCGUAUACGCCCGAAAGGGGAAAGAUUUAUCGCUAUAGGAUGGGCCCGCGUAGGAUUAGCUAGUUGGUGAGGUAAUGGCUCACCAAGGCGACGAUCCUUAGCUGGUCUGAGAGGAUGAUCAGCCACACUGGGACUGAGACACGGCCCAGACUCCUACGGGAGGCAGCAGUGGGGAAUAGUUGGGCAAUGGGCGCGAAGCCUGACCCAGCCAGUCGCCGCGUGAGUGACGACGGCCUUAGGGUUAGUAAAGCUUCGUUUUGGGCGGGACGUAGUAAGUGACCGGUACCCG
rnacentral:rRNA from 1 species